UGGGGCGUCGCCAAGCGGUAAGGCACCGGAUUUUGAUUCCGGCAUACGGAGGUUCGAAUCCUCCCGCCCCAGCCA
rnacentral:tRNA from 1 species